GGGUGAGUAAUGCUUAGGAAUCUGCCUAUUAGUGGGGGACAACAUCUCGAAAGGGAUGCUAAUACCGCAUACGUCCUACGGGAGAAAGCGGGGGAUCUUCGGACCUUGCGCUAAUAGAUGAGCCUAAGUCGGAUUAGCUAGUUGGUGGGGUAAAGGCCUACCAAGGCGACGAUCUGUAGCGGGUCUGAGAGGAUGAUCCGCCACACUGGGACUGAGACACGGCCCAGACUCCUACGGGAGGCAGCAGUGGGGAAUAUUGGACAAUGGGGGGAACCCUGAUCCAGCCAUGCCGCGUGUGUGAAGAAGGCCUUAUGGUUGUAAAGCACUUUAAGCGAGGAGGAGGCUACUUUAGUUAAUACCUAGAGAUAGUGGACGUUACUCGCAAAAUAAGCACCGGCUAACUCUGUGCCAGCAGCCGCGGUAAUACAGAGGGUGCAAGCGUUAAUCGGAUUUACUGGGCGUAAAGCGCGCGUAGGCGGCUAAUUAAGUCAAAUGUGAAAUCCCCGAGCUUAACUUGGGAAUUGCAUUCAAUACUGGUUAGCUAGAGUGUGGGAGAGGAUGGUAGAAUUCCAGGUGUAGCGGUGAAAUGCGUAGAGAUCUGGAGGAAUACCGAUGGCGAA
rnacentral:rRNA from 1 species